CUUCAACGACCCCAGCCACAGGGGCUGCUCGGCGGUGUGGUCCUGGCCGUAGGUGGCCAGUAGCGCUUGGGCCUC
rnacentral:antisense_RNA from 1 species